CAUGGUCAAUUUCAUAUAUUUGCACUUGCAGGACAUUUAAAUUUCAGUUUGCCAUUUACCAUAUUGAUUAGAUGAUGCCCCUUAUGAUUUUUUUUUUCACCAGUAUGAUGAUAGUUAUACUCCAUAGGCUAAUAUCUCUAUAGGAUAAUAUCAUGAUGCCAUAGAUACCUGCAGUAAAGUCUAAAUGAAAGGGAAUUGAGACUAGAGUCACCAAGUUGGAAUCCCUAAAGUUAAAACUACUUGGUAUUACCAUGUCCAAACAUAAACACACACCUAAAAGAAUAUGAUAACCAAGCCAAUUCAGAAACAUUGAUGGGUUAUGGAGUACAAAAAAGUUACACUUCUUUCAAUAUUUCAACUCCGAGAAAAAGGUUUCAAGCUCACUGGCUCAAUUAAUUGCAUCAACACUGAUCUUUUGAUGCAAAAUUUUUUAGUGAAUCAAAACAGAUUAUUCCUAUAAAUGCUCAAUGUUGAACACACUAGGACACAUUGUUCAACUAACAAACUUAACUGUUU
rnacentral:misc_RNA from 1 species